UUGAAGAUAUUUAUGAGAAUUGUUCUCAAUAAUAUAUGAUUACUGAUGGAGGUACUUCAUGAUGAACACUGUCCCUUUGGACUAAUGGUAUGGUAGAUCUCUCUACCAAUACAAUUGUACUAAAAGCCAGUCAGUUGCAAACAAAAGUUUGACAAUCAACCUAAAACAAGACCUUUAUUGGUCAAGUUUAUAAACAUCUUGUCAAGCUAUGGAUAUUGCACUGACACAGACCUAUAACAAAGGUCUACAAUDCAAAACAAACACUGAUGAAGGAUGAAGUCAACCAAGACUAGAAUAAUUUUUUUGUGCUGGGGGACUGACUUACAACAGCAGUAUUUCAUAUCAAACCAUAUCUCACGACGAGACUGCAAGAAUGAGAUUUCUUUCCUUUAAAAUCCAUUUAUGGAGAACUUAUUUAAAAGCUGUAAAGACAACAAUAUAGUCUUACUAUAAGAAAUAUUUUUCUCCAGUCCCCCAGCACCAGUGGAUACAGGAGAGUGUUCCUCUUUGUGUAUUUUAUUGUCAACAUUUUAUGCACACUUCUGUGUUUGUUUUAAAGCUUUCAGAACUGAAGAGACAAAUUUUUUGAGUUACUCUUUCAUAGGUUUAUAAGGACACUCUCCUGUAUCCACUGAAAUUUUCUUUGAAAAAAAUAAACUUCAUGCCUCCCACGAGGYCCUGCCAGCACCAUAAGARA